UACGUAGGGGGCGAGCGUUGUCCGGAUUUAUUGGGCGUAAAGAGCUCGUAGGCGGCUUGGCAAGUCGGGUGUGAAACCUCCAGGCUCAACCUGGAGACGCCACUCGAUACUGCUAUGGCUAGAGUCCGGUAGGGGACCACGGAAUUCCUGGUGUAGCGGUGAAAUGCGCAGAUAUCAGGAGGAACACCGGUGGCGAAGGCGGUGGUCUGGGCCGGCACUGACGCUGAGGAGCGAAAGCAUGGGGAGCGAACAGG
rnacentral:rRNA from 1 species